rnacentral:rRNA from 1 species
ACAUGCAGUCGAGCGGUAGCACAGAGAGCUUGCUCUCGGGUGACGAGCGGCGGACGGGUGAGUAAUGUCUGGGAAACUGCCUGAUGGAGGGGGAUAACUACUGGAAGCGGUAGCUAAUACCGCAUAAUGUCGCAAGACCAAAGUGGGGGACCUUCGGGCCUCAUGCCAUCAGAUGUGCCCAGAUGGGAUUAGCUAGUAGGUGGGGUAACGGCUCACCUAGGCGACGAUCCCUAGCUGGUCUGAGAGGAUGACCAGCCACACUGGAACUGAGACACGGUCCAGACUCCUACGGGAGGCAGCAGUGGGGAAUAUUGCACAAUGGGCGCAAGCCUGAUGCAGCCAUGCCGCGUGUGUGAAGAAGGCCUUCGGGUUGUAAAGCACUUUCAGCGGGGAGGAAGGCGUUAAGGUUAAUAACCUUGGCGAUUGACGUUACCCGCAGAAGAAGCACCGGCUAACUCCGUGCCAGCAGCCGCGGUAAUACGGAGGGUGCAAGCGUUAAUCGGAAUUACUGGGCGUAAAGCGCACGCA